CAUUGCUCCACGAUGAAAAAAGACUAGACACAAAAAUAUAUUUUAAAAUAAUAAUAAUAAUCAAUAAAACUUUGGCAGCAGGCAAAAGCUGACACACGCCUCAGAAUCUGCUCUGAUCAUCAAGAAAAUGAGGAGCUACUCUGAUCAAACACAGUUCUGUGGUGUGGAUUUCUAAUUCUAAGCACAGCUUAAGAUGCUCGCGCUGGACGACUUCGAAAGUUGCCCAACUUUCCCGUCAAUCAUGAGCGCGGAGCAUUUUAUUUUUUCUACUGCAAUUUUUUUAAGCAGCAGCGGUUUCUCUGCUGCAGUCCAAGAAAGCCCAGGGAUGCUGAUGGGAGGAAUAAAUGGAAGACCAGUGAUUAUCAAAGAGGAAAAUAACGUCUUUGAAGCUCUCUACUCUCCACAAACCUGCCUGUGUACUAAUUAUAAGCACUGCUAAUGACAUGUGCGCAUGUGUAGGUGUAAAGAUGCUGUCGAGUGGAUGUGUGAG
ensembl:lncRNA